UAUCACCAGUUUCUAAUUCACCCUGUCUUGGGUUUCUUCUUUCCAGUCCCUGGCUUUCGGUAUUGUUACCCAAACAGCAGGGUGGAUUCCGGUAAACUUCCUUCCAGAAAAGACCCAGAGGUGAACGUUCCAGAAACCAUUGAGAAAUCCUGCUCCCAGCGAGAAGAUAACAAACCGGAUGUCGGAGUCUGCCGAAAUAGAUGUCUUCUGAGUGAGGUGAACUACUCCCUGAACUACCGGCUGAGGGCAUACGGUCAUCAAGAUUAUAAUAAAAAACGGAAAUACAGAGACAGGAAAAAUAAGCAUUUUACGAGUCAAGCGGCCUUCUGCCUGGGCUCUGGGCUGAAGACGGAAGUCCCUGGCUUUCUGUAUUCUGCCCCAAACGUCCACAUGGUGGCGUCUGGCAGGCCUUCCAGAAUAAACCCAGAGGUGAAUGUUCCAGAAGGCACUGAGAAAUCCGGCUCACAACAGGAAGAAAACAAACCAAAUGCUGGAACCACUGAAAAUAGACUUCUUCUGAGUCAGGUGGCCUACUUCCAGAACUACCGGCUGAAGUCAGACAGUAAGUUCUAUAGGUUGACCACCACGAAAGUGAUCAAUGAUGUCCUGUGUUUCGAGAAACUCACGGUUCUCUUCAUCAAAGUUUAUUUCAUUUUUCCCAUAGUUGUAAAAAAUAGAAAUGGGUAUUUUAACAUUGUUGUUAAAGAUGGAAGAUGGAAACUGAAGUACUUAGCUACUUUUCCACGGCUGUAGUAAGAUGGUGUGGGACUGGGGUCACAAUCCAGGCUAUCAGUGUCUGACACAAGUACAGAACCACCUGUUUUUCUCAGCAAGAGACCGAAUUCAUGUUUACAGGAAUCCUCUCUGUACAGUAUAAGAUCCUGCAGACAAGUAGCAUUUAGCUUGUUGAUCAAAAUGUCUGAAGCUACUGAAAUUUUAUUUGGUUCUGGUUAUUUGAGGCUUAGUAGGCAAAGCUGUGCCUUUCGGACCCUGCGGGAAACGUG
rnacentral:lncRNA from 13 species